rnacentral:tRNA from 1 species
GGCGCAGUGGCCAAGUGGUAAGGCGUCUGUCUCGUAAACAGAAGAUCGCGAGUUCGAUCCUCGUCUGUGCCU